rnacentral:rRNA from 1 species
GGGUUGUGAGGUUAAGUGACUAAGCGUACACGGUGGAUGCCUAGGCAGUCAGAGGCGAUGAAGGGCGUGCUAAUCUGCGAAAAGCGUCGGUAAGGUGAUAUGAACCGUUACAACCGACGAUACCCGAAUGGGGAAACCCAGUGUGUUUCGACACACUAUCCUGUCAUGAAUACAUAGUGGCAGGAGGCGAACCGGGGGAACUGAAACAUCUAAGUACCCCGAGGAAAAGAAAUCAACCGAGAUUCCCCCAGUAGCGGCGAGCGAACGGGGAACAGCCCAGAACCUGAAUCGGCUUGUGUGUCAGUGGAAGCGUCUGGAAAGUCGCACAGUAAAGGGUGAUAGUCCCGUACACGAAGAUGCACAGGUCGUGAGUUCGAUGAGUAGGGCGGGACACGUGUUAUCCUGUCUGAAUAUGGGGGGACCAUCCUCCAAGGCUAAAUACUCCUGACUGACCGAUAGUGAACCAGUACCGUGAGGGAAAGGCGAAAAGAACCCCGGCGAGGGGAGUGAAAUAGAACCUGAAACCGUGUACGUACAAGCAGUGGGAGCACCUUCGGGUGUGACUGCGUACCUUUUGUAUAAUGGGUCAGCGACUUAUAUUUUGUAGCAAGGUUAACCGAAUAGGGGAGCCGUAGGGAAACCGAGUCUUAACUGGGCGUCUAGUUGCAAGGUAUAGACCCGAAACCCGGUGAUCUAGCCAUGGGCAGGUUGAAGGUUGGGUAACACUAACUGGAGGACCGAACCGACUAAUGUUGAAAAAUUAGCGGAUGACUUGUGGCUGGGGGUGAAAGGCCAAUCAAACCGGGAGAUAGCUGGUUCUCCCCGAAAGCUAUUUAGGUAGCGCCUCGUGAACUCAUCUUCGGGGGUAGAGCACUGUUUCGGCUAGGGGGCCAUCCCGGCUUACCAAACCGAUGCAAACUCCGAAUACCGAAGAAUGUUAUCACGGGAGACACACGGCGGGUGCUAACGUCCGUCGUGAAGAGGGAAACAACCCAGACCGCCAGCUAAGGUCCCAAAGUCAUGGUUAAGUGGGAAACGAUGUGGGAAGGCACAGACAGCCAGGAUGUUGGCUUAGAAGCAGCCAUCAUUUAAAGAAAGCGUAAUAGCUCACUGGUCGAGUCGGCCUGCGCGGAAGAUGUAACGGGGCUAAACCAUGCACCGAAGCUGCGGCAGCGACGCUUAUGCGUUGUUGGGUAGGGGAGCGUUCUGUAAGCCGUUGAAGGUGGCCUGCGAGGGUUGCUGGAGGUAUCAGAAGUGCGAAUGCUGACAUAAGUAACGAUAAAGCGGGUGAAAAACCCGCUCGCCGGAAGACCAAGGGUUCCUGUCCAACGUUAAUCGGGGCAGGGUGAGUCGACCCCUAAGGCGAGGCUGAAAAGCGUAGUCGAUGGGAAACAGGUUAAUAUUCCUGUACUUGGUGUUACUGCGAAGGGGGGACGGAGAAGGCUAGGCUAGCCGAGCGACGGUUGUCUCGGUUUAAGCGUGUAGGGGGAGUGACCUGGUAAAUCCGGUCGCUUGUUAACCCUGAGGCGUGAUGACGAUGCACUACGGUGCAGAAGUAGUUGAUGCCAAGCUUCCAGGAAAAGCCUCUAAGCUCCAGGUAACAUCAAAUCGUACCCCAAACCGACACAGGUGGUCAGGUAGAGAAUACCAAGGCGCUUGAGAGAACUCGGGUGAAGGAACUAGGCAAAAUGGUGCCGUAACUUCGGGAGAAGGCACGCUGGCGCGUAGGUGAAGUCCCUUGCGGAUGGAGCUGAAGCCAGUCGCAGAUACCAGCUGGCUGCAACUGUUUAAUAAAAACACAGCACUGUGCAAACACGAAAGUGGACGUAUACGGUGUGACGCCUGCCCGGUGCCGGAAGGUUAAUUGAUGGGGUUAUCCGUAAGGAGAAGCUCUUGAUCGAAGCCCCGGUAAACGGCGGCCGUAACUAUAACGGUCCUAAGGUAGCGAAAUUCCUUGUCGGGU